rnacentral:rRNA from 1 species
AUGUCCUCUUUCCCCUCCUGUGCGCCUCCACCUCGCCUUUCCUUCUCCCCCGCGUCGCCAUCGCCUCCCUCCGCCGCUUCGCCACCAACCGCUGCUGCAGCCUUCCCUCCGCCGGCCUCGGCCUCCCUCGGACCUGACCACCCCGUUGCCGGCCUCGCUCCUCCUCGCCCUGCGUGCCCGCCGCCGCCGCCGGCAGUAGCAGCUGCUGCUGCACACUCUCGCCGACGCCGCGAACCAUCUAAGCUCGCGCCCCCUCGUCGGCCUCCUCGAGCACCGGCCGCGCCGCGCGCCCAACCUUCCUCCCACGCCUCUCCGUCACUGCUCCGUGCACCCCGGCCAUCCUCCUGCGCCAAGUCCCGCCUGCCGGAGUCCCUGCGUCGCCCGCCGUCGUCCUUCGCCGUCGCGUCGGGCUCCUGGACCUCCGCUGCGAGCCCCAUCGCCGCCUGUUCUGGCCGUCCCUGCAUCGGACCCCGACGAGCUGGCUGCCCCGUUGGUCUUGCUGCCUUUGUCGUGGCCAGGUCAAGUCAGACACCCGGAGACCAUCGUUGA